UGAAGAUGUAGAUGUUGGCGGCCA
rnacentral:siRNA from 1 species